UACGUAGGGUGCGAGCGUUAAUCGGAAUUACUGGGCGUAAAGCGUGCGCAGGCGGUGAUGUAAGACCGAUGUGAAAUCCCCGGGCUUAACCUGGGAACUGCAUUGGUGACUCCAUCGCUCGAGUAUGGCAGAGGGGGGGUAGAAUUCCACGUGUAGCAGUGAAAUGCGUAGAGAUGUGGAGGAAUACCGAUGGCGAAGGCAGCCCCCUGGGUCAAUACUGACGCUCAUGCACGAAGCGUGGGGAGCAAACGAAGGAUUA
rnacentral:rRNA from 1 species